GCCGUCGGCAUCUGGCACUGUGGUUCCUGCAUGAAAACGGUGGCUGGUGGGGCCUGGACCUACAACACGACUUCUGCCGUCACAGUGAAGUCUGCC
ensembl:miRNA